rnacentral:rRNA from 1 species
CUUAGUUGCCAUCAGGUAAUGCUGGGCACUCUGAGGAUACUGCCACCGUAAGGUGUGAGGAAGGUGGGGAUGACGUCAAAUCAGCACGGCCCUUACGUCCGGGGCUACACACGUGUUACAAUGGCCGGUACAGAAUGUUGGUUUCAUGUAAAUGUAAUCUAAUCUUUAAAGCCGGUCCCAGUUCGGACUGAGGUCUGCAACCCGACCUCACGAAGCUGGAUUCGCUAGUAAUCGCGCAUCAGCCAUGGCGCGGUGAAUACGUUCCCGGGCCUUGUACACACCGCCCGUCAAGCCAUGAAAGCCGGGGGUGCCUGAAGUUCGUAACCGCAAGGAGCGACCUAGGGCAAAACUGGUGAUUGGGGCUAAGUCGUAACAAGGUAGCCGUACCGGAAGGUGCGGCUGGAACACCUCCUUUCUGGAG